UAAUCCUACGGGGGGCAGCAGUGGGGAAUAUUGGGCAAUGGGCGCAAGCCUGACCCAGCAACGCCGCGUGAAGGAAGAAGGCUUUCGGGUUGUAAACUUCUUUUAAGAGGGACGAAGGAAGUGACGGUACCUCUUGAAUAAGCCACGGCUAACUACGUGCCAGCAGCCGCGGUAAUACGUAGGUGGCAAGCGUUAUCCGGAUUUAUUGGGUGUAAAGGGCGUGUAGGCGGGAGCGCAAGUCAGAUGUGAAAACUCCGGGCUCAAACCUGAGACUGCAUUUGUAACUGUGUGUCUUGAGUGCUGGG
rnacentral:rRNA from 1 species